GGCCCCGCCCGCCCCGCGCCUGCGCGCAGCCCCGCCCCCGGCCGCGGGCGGCCCGGCCCGGCUGAGCCGCGGCGCGAUGCGAGGAGGCGGCGGCGGCGGCACCGCCACUGGGACCCGCGCCGGGACCCGCGCCCGGGCCUGCUGCGAGCCGCGCCGCCCGCUGCCGCCGGGGCGGAGGUUGCGAAGAUGGCGCAGUCCCCUCGUGCCCCGCUGCUGCUGGAAGACUAGAGCUUGAACGGGCGCGACGCACGCCGCUGCUGCCGCGCUGUUCCAUGCUUCAGGCAGACCAUAGGCAGUGACGCUCUC
rnacentral:lncRNA from 1 species